UCCUCCUGCUAAUAUCUCUGUCUUUACAUCUCUCCGCCUUCAGAAGGCACCUUAAAAACAGUCUCUCUGAUCAUGGCUUUGAACACCUCUGAUAAUUUCUUUCUAUUCCUGCUCAGCUGUGAUUUCCAUCUUUGUAAUGCUGCAUGAAGACACUAAUAAACAUAAACUGCUGUCAUCUGAAUGUUAGCGAGACACAAUCAACACCAUAGGAAACAACAUAGAGGCCCAAAUUAAAAGGAUUGGCAGUUAAAUUACAGCACCAUUGAAAAAUUAUAUUAAUCAUAUUUUACAUACAAUGCAUGUCGAAACCAAAGCCCUUUCUUCAGAGACCUUUCCUUAUUUGGACUGUUAAUUAAUUGAUUAUACUGAAAUUUGCAAUUUGAAAUCUAACUGGAACAUAAUCCCACACCUAAAACAUGUUGACGGGCUUAGACUUUUAAUUCAUUUUCAUUUCUUUCGAUUUAGUUGCAAAUCCAGCUGAAAUGCAAAAAAAACAUGUUCAAUAUAAAAGUACAGAAAGUGGAGAUGAUUAACAAUGUACAUUUCGGCUACAUGGGAAGGACUGCCUCUGAGACUAGAUAAAGGUUUACUGUGGAGAAUGUCAGAUGUCUUGAACCAGCAUUCACCCUGAAGUGCUCAUCAAUAACACAUGAUGCAAAGGCGAAGAAACCCAACAGAGAACAUUGACCAGCUAUCAAACGACAUCAAAGGAAAAAUUUUAAAAUGAUGCCAAAAAAGUGCUUCAACCAUUGUAACAAUGAAAAAUUUAUGCAACAAUCAUCUUCAAAUGCUUUCCAAUUAUCUCCAAAGCAUCCUCCAAAGUUUUCUCAUAUAUGUUCUUCAAGUCAACACCCA